rnacentral:rRNA from 1 species
CAAUAGCGUAUAUUUAAGUUGUUGCAGUUAAAAAGCUCGUAGUUGGAUUUCGGUUAAGAGCGACCGGUCCGCCGUUUGGUGUGCACUGGUUGGUUUUAACUUCCUGUAGAGGACGUGCUCUGGGUUUAACGACCUGGACUCGGAGUCUACGUGGUUACUUUGAAAAAAUUAGAGUGUUCAAAGCGGGCUUACGCUUGAAUAUUUCAGCAUGGAAUAACACUAUAGGACUCCUGUCCUAUUUCGUUGGUCUCGGGACGGGAGUAAUGAUUAAGAGGAACAGUUGGGGGGCAUUCGUAUUUCAUUGUCAGAGGUGAAAUUCUUGGAUUUAUGAAAGACGAACUUCUGCGAAAGCAUUUGCCAAGGAUGUUUUCAUUAA